AGUGGAUGGGGAGCAACCUAGUUGUGCGUGUGUAAAGGUAGUGCCAAGAAAAGCGAUGAUCAUGUUGAAAAUCAAUUCCCGGUACCCGAAACCGACACAGGUGGGCAAGUAGAGAAUACUAAGGGGCGCGAGGUAACUCUCUCCAAGGAACUCGGCAAAAUGACCCCGUAACUUAGGGAGAAGGGGUGCCACCGAGAGGUGGUCGCAGUGAAGAGGCCCAGGCGACUGUUUAGCAAAAACAUAGGUCUCUGCAAACUCGAAAGAGGAGGUAUAGGGGCUGACGCCUGCCCAGUGCCGGAAGGUUAAAGAAGUUGGUCAGUUUUAGGAUGAAGCUAGCGACUGAAGCCCCGGUGAACGGCGGCCGUAACUAUAACGGUCCUAAGGUAGCGAAAUUCCUUGUCGGGUAAGUUCCGACCCGCACGAAAGGCGUAACGAUCUGGGCGCUGUCUCGGAGAGAGGCUCGGCGAAAUAGGAUUGUCUGUGAAGAUACGGACUACCUGCAUUUGGACAGAAAGACCCUAUGAAGCUUUACUAUAGCUUGGAAUUGUGUUCGGGCUUCCUGUGCGCAGGAUAGGUGGGAGGCGUAGAAGGUAUUCUUGUGGGGAUACUGGAGCCAACGGUGAGAUACCACUCUCAGGAGGCUAGAAUUCUAACUUAAUUAAGGACAGUUUCAGGUGGGUAGUUUGACUGGGGCGGUCGCCUCCAAAAAGGUAACGGAGGCGUACAAAGGUUCCCUCAGACUGGUUGGAAAUCAGUCGAAGAGUGCAAAGGCAGAAGGGAGCUUGACUGCGAGAAGUACAGUUCGAGCAGGGUGGAAACACGGUCUUAGUGAUCCGACGGUGCUGUGUGGAAGGGCCGUCGCUUAACGGAUAAAAGUUACUCUAGGAUAACAGGCUGAUCUCCCCCAAGAGUUCACAUCGACGGGGAGGUUUGGCACCUCGAUGUCGGCUCAUCGCAACCUGGGGCGGAAGUACGUCCCAAGGGUUGGGCUGUUCGCCCAUUAAAGCGGUACGUGAGCUGGGUUCAGAACGUCGUGAGGCAGUUCGGUCCAUAUCCGAUGUAGGCGUGAGAAUAUUGAGAGGAGCCUUCCUUAGUACGAGAGGACCGGGAAGGACGCACCGCUGGUGUACCUGUUAUGAUGCCAAUUGUAAACGCAGGGUAGCCAAGUGCGGAGAGGAUAACCGCUGAAAGCAUCUAAGUGGGAAGCCCACCUCAAGAUGAGUAUUCUGGUGUAAGGUCACGGGAAGACGACCCGUAAAUAGGCACGAGGUGGAAGUGCAGAGAUGUAUGAAGCCGAAGUGUACUAAUAGACCGUCGGCUUGACC
rnacentral:rRNA from 1 species